GGUCUGGCGGCGUGCUUAACACAUGCAAGUCGAACGAUGAAGCCCAGCUUGCUGGGUGGAUUAGUGGCGAACGGGUGAGUAACACGUGAGUAACCUGCCCCCGACUUUGGGAUAAGCCCGGGAAACUGGGUCUAAUACCGGAUAUGACUUCCCACUGCAUGGUGGGUUGUUGAAAGAUUUAUCGGUGGGGGAUGGACUCGCGGCCUAUCAGCUUGUUGGUGAGGUAAUGGCUCACCAAGGCGACGACGGGUAGCCGGCCUGAGAGGGUGACCGGCCACACUGGGACUGAGACACGGCCCAGACUCCUACGGGAGGCAGCAGUGGGGAAUAUUGCACAAUGGGCGGAAGCCUGAUGCAGCGACGCCGCGUGAGGGAUGACGGCCUUCGGGUUGUAAACCUCUUUCAGUAGGGAAGAAGCGAAAGUGACGGUACCUGCAGAAGAAGCGCCGGCUAACUACGUGCCAGCAGCCGCGGUAAUACGUAGGGCGCAAGCGUUAUCCGGAUUUAUUGGGCGUAAAGAGCUCGUAGGCGGUUUGUCGCGUCUGCCGUGAAAGUCCGAGGCUCAACCUCGGAUCUGCGGUGGGUACGGGCAGACUAGAGUGAUGUAGGGGAGACUGGAAUUCCUGGUGUAGCGGUGAAAUGCGCAGAUAUCAGGAGGAACACCGAUGGCGAAGGCAGGUCUCUGGGCAUUUACUGACGCUGAGGAGCGAAAGCAUGGGGAGCGAACAGGAUUAGAUACCCUGGUAGUCCAUGCCGUAAA
rnacentral:rRNA from 1 species